AGGGAGACGUGAUGCCUUCAGUCCAGCUGCUCUUAUUUCUGACUUCCAGUGCCUGCAUAGCUGGUUUGGUUUUGUAGUUUAUGCCCACUCCCAGGGCACGCUGAUUGCUUGGGCAAUUCCCCAUCUUAGCUUAUUUGUCUUUUUGGUGGGCUGCCACAAGGGGCAACACUGUAGGGCUGUGUGAAACAGCCUCUGUACUGGGGACCUUCUCCCUAGAGAUACUCAGCCCUAUCUACCUCCAGUGUGAUGUGAGGAUGACAUUUUACUAUUUGUCAUCUCGUUAUAACUAGAGGAAAGCAAAUUUACUGUGAGUGUACUAUGUUGGUAUCAACUGAAAGCAGUGAGUUCAUAUAAAUUGUCCAUCUCUGAGAAAAUAACUAUUUAUUUGAGCAGGAAGAAGGAUGAUGUGCUUUCUCUUUCUCUCCUGGCAUGUCUUGGGAUCAGCUGGCUAUGGUAAGUGAGGGUUACUUAAAGAUAAAGUAAUGGACAAUCAAAUUCCACAGAAUUGAGCAAAUCUGGUGCACCUACUGCUAGUUUUUUCCAUUGCUCACUUCAGUAUGCUUGAGUUAAAAAAACUCAGGCAAAUAACCUGCUUGUAUCAAAGCGAGUGCUGUAAGCCCUACUAAUUCCCAUAGGUAUAAUAGACAGUAGCCAUAGAAAUGAAUUGCAACUAAAACUGGGAAGAAAUAAAUUGGUCCUUAGUUCUUGAAUUUCUUGCUUUCUUAGUUUCUAACAUCUCUGGAUGUUAGAGUACUCAGCUCUACAAACAGACAUGAUAUCUCAUGUAAAACAAGCAUGUGACGCCUCUUGUGUCAUUUCUGAAAAUGUUAGUUGAGGACAAAAGUGGACUAAGAACGGAGCUUAGAUGGUAUCCAUCUCUAUAGCAGUGGCCAUGGCUAAUCCAAGCUAGGUGUCUGGAGUCCCUAGUUGAUUGGGAAGCCAAGAUGGGUCUAGAAGCCUAUUCAUUCUAAAUCAAGGUAAAUAUUUAAGAAGACUGAAUUUUCUUUUGUGGAGACCCAUUUCUCUCCACUGACUGAAAGACUCCGCAUGACUAGCUUAGAUAACAAUUUUCCAGGCAGCUAAAAUUAGAGAUGAAUCCCACCCAUUAUACAGAGUAUACCUAACAUGAAAGGAAUGACUGAUUAUGUUCUUCAAUAUUAAAUAGAUCUCAAGGCAGAUCUGUUUAAACCGACUGACUGCAUUCUUCUCAAAUAGCAUUACGUGAAUAUUGCCAGUAUAGAAAGGGAAGUAUUAAUGUCACGUACAAAAAGACGUGAGAAAAAAUGAGAGGGUUUAUAAUGUUGUUCCACUAAAACAGGGUAGGUAAACAGCAGAAAGGGAAAAGAAUAAUCUGGACUAAUUCAGGGGUUUAUCGUAUUUUACUGAGAUCUUUCUUCAAAUUUCCAGCCCACUUCCAAAAAGUGCUGUAACUUUUUAGUUGGAUACUGAGUGCAGAGCUUGUAAGAAUUUCUUGGUAGCACAGGAAGAUCUGAAAUGUCACUGGUGUUUUGUCUGAUGUAUCAUACCAAAGCCGUGUAUGUGUUGGUGUCUUCCAACUCCUAUUACCUGGGUACUUAAAUAGAAAAUUAUCUCUUUAUUUCAAACAACUGUAUUCCAGUAAGACUGCAUUAUCAUCAUCAUCAUCAUCAUCAUUUGCUUCCCAGCUUCAUGGCAUCAUGAAGACUCCCAGCUCUUAGCUGCCAGAAAUGAAGGCUCUCAGCCUCCCCAAUCAGACCAUAAGGGCUUUUCUCAACCUCACCUUUCGGCUGUUCAAACCUACUGAUGUUCUUUUCAUCCUUACUAUAUUAGAUCUACGAGAUAAUUGGGGCAGAGCGCAGGAAGAGAAAAAACAUAAUUCAGAAACCAUUCAGAGCAAUGGAUGUUUUGAAACAGCAAGGUGACAAAUUGUCUGGGAUAAACU
ensembl:lncRNA